GCGGGCGGCGAGACCGCCUGGAUGCCGGGGAGGCGGGGACGGUCGCGGGAUGCCGGGGCCCGAGGAGGCGGGGAGGCGGGCUGGCGGAGGCGCGGCCACGUGGAGAGAGGCGAGGAGGAGACGAGUAGACGACCCAGGCGGCAGCCGGCAGGCAGUCACACCUUCACCUUCACGGAACAGUCGAACAGAGACACAGAGUAGAAGAGGAUUGAGGAAAUAGGAAUGAAGAGCAGAGGAGGAGUGGAGCAGGACGAGAAUUUUAAAGAGAGCCAGAGGGCAGAGAGGAAUGAUGGGCGAUGGCAUCAUGGCCGAUGGGAAUAUGGGAUCGGAUUAAGCCAUUGAGGAGGAGUGGACAGUGGAGCACCCGGCGACCCGCAUCUUGUCGAGGUAGCCGUUGGCUCCUGCCGUCCUGCGGGCUGCGGCCUUACCCUCUGAGGCUCUGACUGUAGUCUGUAGCUAGCUACUAGCUAGGAGCGGGAGCUGGGAGGGUAGAGCGUAGGAUGCCGUCGCGGGGCCUUCUCUCGAGCCGGGGCCUUAGGUGACCGCCUAGGUCGCCUAAGGCUUGGGCCGCCCCUGACUGUGCUAAAGCAAGGCGAAGUAGCUAUAGAAAUUGCCCAGCUUAAUCUAUUAGACAGGCGAGGUUAAAAGCACCAGAUGCAACCCAUCAUUUACCAAUCACUCAAAGUUCCACAGGUAAUCUUAUUAGGGGCACGAAGGUUUGGCCGUUGUCUCGCCACUACAUCCCAAAAGGACAGCUAAGCCGUUGACGAUACAGAUCCUUUGUUAUUUAAUCUUCAAUUUCUAGCCAUUUC
rnacentral:lncRNA from 1 species